UACGUAGGGUGCGAGCGUUAAUCGGAAUUACUGGGCGUAAAGGGAGCGUAGGCGGGCUAUCAAGUCUGGGGUGAAAUACCACGGCUCAACCUCGGAACUGCCUCCAAAACUACAAGUCUGGAGCAAGAUAGAGGCAAGUGGAAUUGCGAGUGUAGAGGUGAAAUUCGUAGAUAUUCGCAGGAACACCAGUGGCGAAGGCGACUUGCUGGAUCUUUGCUGACGCUGAGACGCGAAAGCGUGGGGAGCAAACAGG
rnacentral:rRNA from 1 species